GACGAACGCUGGCGGCGUGCUUAACACAUGCAAGUCGAGCGGUAAGGCCCUUUCGGGGGUACACGAGCGGCGAACGGGUGAGUAACACGUGGGUGACCUGCCCUCAGCUCUGGGAUAAGCCCGGGAAACUGGGUCUAAUACCGGAUAUGACUCCACGGUGCAUGUCGUGGGGUGGAAAGCCUUGUGCGGCUGAGGAUGGGCCCGCGGCCUAUCAGCUUGUUGGUGGGGUGAUGGCCUACCAAGGCGACGACGGGUAGCCGGCCUGAGAGGGCGACCGGCCACACUGGGACUGAGACACGGCCCAGACUCCUACGGGAGGCAGCAGUGGGGAAUUUUGCGCAAUGGCGAAAGCCUGACGCAGCAACGCCGCGUGUGUGAUGAAGGUCUUCGGAUUGUAAAGCAC
rnacentral:rRNA from 1 species